GUACUUGCUUCAGCAGCACAUAUACUAAAAUUGGAAUGAUACAGAGAAGAUUAAUAUGGCUCCUAUGCAAGGAUGAUUCGCAAAUUCGUGAAGCAUUCCAUAUUUUU